UACAGAGGUCCCAAGCGUUGUUCGGAUUCACUGGGCGUAAAGGGUGCGUAGGUGGCCGGGUAAGUUCGAUGUGAAAGCUCUGAGCUCAACUCAGAAAUGGCAUUGAAUACUAUCCGGCUUGAGGGUUGGAGGGGGGACUGGAAUUCUCGGUGUAGCAGUGAAAUGCGUAGAUAUCGAGAGGAACACCAGUGGCGAAGGCGAGUCCCUGGACGACUCCUGACACUGAGGCACGAAAGCUAGGGGAGCAAACAGG
rnacentral:rRNA from 1 species